GGACAGAUGCCCGAGCGGUUAAGGGGACGGUCUCAAGUUGUUUGACUUUCCAAGAAUUUGGAAUCCGUUGCAUUGUGCGCGAGAGUUCGAAUCUCUCUCUGUUCA
rnacentral:tRNA from 2 species